UGCUCUUUUCUCAUUUUCCCCUUAGCUUGAUUAUCAUGUAUGCUUGGACCCUUCCAUUAUAUACUUCCAAAGAGGGGGAAAAUUCAGUUUUAGAAGUGAUAAUGAUUUAUAAUUUUUUUCUUGAUACUUUUUGAUAUUAUACCACUUUUUUGUAAUAUGCCUCAUGCUUCUUAGAAAUGCUUUUGAAAAAAAUGUUCUUGUUAAUAUCAAUAUCCAUUUUCCACACUACAACACAUUGAAUUCUUUCUCCUUAUAUAUGGUUGGAUUUGCUUCAUUUUUUUGAUGAACAACGACUGGUUUUUGCUCUAUCUCAAAGUCCUUUUAAUUUCCCUCUAGGACUCACACAACCAAGCUGGUAUUGUCUACAAUGGCGGUUUGGUGCCUCUUCGUAAACUUCUUGACUCAAAAAAUGGAUGUUUGCAACAUAAUGCUGCAUUUGCUCUAUAUGGUAUUGCAGAGAAUGAGGAUAAUGUUUCUGAUUUUAUCAAGGUAGGAGGUGUUCAGAAGCUACAAGAUGGUGAAUUCAUUAUCCAGGCCACUAAGGACUGUGUAGCAAAGACAAUGAAGAGAUUAGAGGAGAAGAUUAAUGGGCGAGUACUAAAUCAUUUAUUAUAUCUGAUGCGAGUUGGAGAGAAGGCUGUCCAAAGACGUAUAGCUUUGGCUCUUGCCUUUGAAGGCUGUCCAAAGGCCCAUGUCUUAGUUUGUUCCAAUCUUCUCAGGAGCGUUAUUUGUUCUUAUCAUUUGUUUUGAUACCCGACAUAAUUACUCCCUAUUUCGACAAUUUUUAUUGUUUUGUAGAAUUGAUAUUAGUUAUUUGAAUUCAUUUGUGACUUCCAAAGCUGGAAUAGUAGACUCAAAUUGGUU